AGUUGACAUGUUCAAUGACUUACUAGUGUCAUACUUGGUUUAUGCCAGAUCUGCUCAGUGUCUGUGCAGCUGUGCACCAGGGGCACAGCAGGAAUGUUUAGCUGCGAAUAAUGGGCAGUCUGAUGAAGUGCAACCAAAUGAUUGCAUGAGGCACGGCCCGCUACACAGGGACAAUGGGUGCUCACCAAAACAACAGGUUUUGAGUGAUUUAACACCAUAUACGGAGAAAAAAGCUUGGAUGAGAUAUUGCUUGACAGCUAAUGCAUAAAUAAGAACAAUUAUGCUGAAUUCUAUAUGAGGCUACACUCAAAAAAAUUAAACAUGACAUUUGUUGGUCCAAAGAAUGUAAUUAUGUUUAAAUUAAUUAAUUUUCGUUUGUGCAUUAAAAUUAAAAGAGUUGUGUUGACAGAAUUAAAAGAAGUAAUUUUUCAAAUUUACACAGCUCAGAUAAUUAAAAGGAAUGAAACGGAGUUGUGUUGCUUCUGCAGUACCGCAUAUUGAUCAGUAGGUGGAGUAAAAUCUACACAUACGCAGUUGGAAAACACCACAAGAAACGAAUCACAACGGUACUCUUCGGCUCGUUUAAAUCUGCGCCAUUUUAUGAGAAUCGAAGACGCAAAACAACAAGGCGUUUUCCUCUAUGUAAACAGAGCAGUUUUAUGCAAAACAGAAGACGGGAAGACAUACGGAUUUGAAAAAAUCUUGCAACCUCUUUUGCAGGAUCUCCAAACUUUGGAACAGCAAGCUUCUCGUGCAAAUUCUCAGACCACUGAAGUGAAGGGAGGUGAAUUCAAACUUCGGACUGCAGAAGAGCACCAAGGACACGUGAAACUUGCUACAGAGAAAGAGAAGAAAGAAACUCAUAAAUGUUUGGAACCACUUAAGGACAAGUUUGACACAAUGGCAACCUCAGCCAAACUCAGCCAAGUAAUCUUAGGAGAAAAUAACUAUGAAAGGUUAAAUCUCCCAGCUGGUAUAGCAGACUCAUUGAAUGACCUUAAAAAAGAAAUCCAAACACAACUUGGUGUGUUAGAAGAUUUUCGAUUUCAGCUCAAAGAUCUGGAUUUUAAUGAAUUUGUCAACCUCAGUUCAACUUCGGACUUACAAGACAGAGCUACACUCAAAAUAAUUUUUUUGCCGACAUCUACAAGUACCUCUUCUUCAUCUGUGCCAAAACAAAGUGAGACCUCUUCAGUAUCUUCCUAUGAUACAGACAUAAUAUCCUCACCAUCAUCUGUACUGUCGACAGAAUCUGCAUCCUCUGUCAGAAGGCAAGCUUGGCCCAAUACUUUCCCAAUACCACAGUUUAGUUUUGAUGCAGAAAUACAACUGCAAAAAGCUCAACUUGCUUAUCAAACUGAUGAUACUGUCCUGAGUCCCAAUUCCUAGCUAAAAGUCUGACAUUUUGGAUUCUUUAGUGUCAGAAAUAAUAAAGUUCAAGGCAUACCCUUCAGCUGCAGAUCUUGAUGAUGUAGCCGCUGCGUUGAUACAGAAGCAUCCACGUCUAAAAGAAAAGGGCUCUGUGAGUGGCUACUAUGGCUGGAAAAUUAGUUUAAAAUAUAAGAUGGCAAACUACAGAACAAAAUUGGGAAACAGGAUGUUCUGAGCUGAACAUCAAUUCCCAUAAGCGAAAAGGAUCCACUGGAAGUCCUAACCAAGAAGAAACCGAGAAAAGCUGAGGUAAAUUACUGUCCAGAUUAGCCAAUGGGUGAAACAAAAGAAACACUUGAAAAUCAAAGGAUUACACUAUUAUUGGAGGUGACUAAAAGAAACAACGAGCAGGUUAUCAAGGGGCUGAUGGACAGAACGUUUGCUCUACGGAGGCACGAGGUGGUAGAAGAUUCACCUUUCAUUGCGGAAUUCAAGAACAGUUGGCCAGCACUCUUUACUGAGCGAGAGGUAUCUGCGGAAUUCAGCAGGAUUAUAAUUCCUUUGGUGUCCAAAUUCAUGGGUCAGCUUGAUCAUCUCUCCCCCCAGCUCCUCAAAAAUUUCAAAAAGAAAGGAGGAGCAGCCACAAAGAAGAUCAGACAUCCUGUCAGUUUUGCAUCAGGUCGGCCGACAGGAACAGGCAGACAAGGCGAAUUCAAGGCAAACACGGGGUUUAUUUGGGAGAUCCGGGACAGGGAACAUAGGACGGCUACUGACAUCAAUGACGGACACCGCUAACAGAGCAUCAUCAUUGAAAAAAAGUAUGAAUGCAUCCUGAAAGCCUUAGUGGUCUACCUAAAUGAAGAUCCUUCAAACCUUGUGAAGGAGUCCAUGGACGCUGAACAUGAUGAAACCCAAAUUUUGAUGAGCAACACCACUCUCGGUGUCAUGCCCGGCUCGUCGGCUCCUCGUGUGUGCCACGCCCCCUGAUUAUCCACGUGUGCUUCCCUGAUCGUCUCCAGCUUUGUCCACUUACUUUGAUUAGUCCUGUCCUGUUUUAAGUCCUGGUCUUACCUGUUUGCCCUGUCCGUCAUUGAUGUUUGUCAAUGCCUGUGUUCCGUCCCGCUCUACCCGCUCCGUUUCCCCGAUUAAAGACCCGUUUUCCCCGUAUCCUGCUUGCCUGCCUGCUCCUUGCUCGCUCGCCUGCCCGACGAUCGCCCGCUUUGUCCGCGAUCGUGACACUCGGAAUCUAUGCCAUCAAACAUGAAGGGGCAGAUGUUGCAGACCCAUACGAAGAUGUUGGUGUCAUCAUCGAAGGCAUCCAAGUACUUAAAAACUUGGACAAUGUAGCUAAUGCAUGUUCCAUCAUGGUUGGUCUAAUUUAUGCAGUAAACUUAGCUUACCCGCAGGAUCUGAGAUAUAGUUUUGAAUUGUUUCAAAAGAUUUUUAUGCAACUCGAUGCCAACAAGCUGUCAAACAAAGUCCAGGUCUUAAAAAAUAAACUCCUAUCAUAGGCACUGUAACUUGAAACAAGGGCUAAGAGGCAGGACCUAUGUUUUGUCCAUAAUGUUGCACUGGCUGUUGCAGUAAUUUUUUCAGUGCUAAC